rnacentral:lncRNA from 1 species
GGCCUAAGUUUUGCCUAAAGCGAUGAAAUUAUGUAAAUGAAGAAUAUCCCGCCGAACACCCAAAAAAUAAAAUUUUCCCUAUGAUUAACAUUUAUACAAGUGUAAAAAUAUAAAAAAUAUAAAGACACAAUUUAAAGUCUACUUUGAAUGUUAUUCCUGACAAAUAUUCUUGAUAACCUGUAUAAACACUCGUAAUAAAAUGUUAGUAACAAAUAAACAAUAAUUAAAAUAAAUUAAAAAAAUAUGUGUGCAUAUACGUAUUUAGAAAUAUAUUUUUUUUUAAACAGUGGGCUCGGAUAAAGUUUUGAAAUGUUCAACAUCCGUCCUUUUAUUUGUAAAGGCCUCAAAAAUCAACGGAUAAUUUCUUCAUCGGCCAUGUGUCAAUUUUUUUAUAUAAAAUAAAUAACUUGGAAAGUAAAGAUCCUUCUUUUAUAUUGGGAUGGCCUCAAGUAUCUGACGGAGAGUCAAUUGCCAGGUGUAACAUCAAUAAAUAUAGUAUACAGUAAGAAGAGUCGUAAAGCUGUAAGCCAGUCAUGAUAAAUGAGCAAAACAAAAUGAAAAAACAUCAAAAUAAACAUUUAAAACCAGUAGCCACACUCCAUACCUCAUUAAAAAUUAAUAAUCCGCAAACAAACAACAUAUAAUACGUUGGCAGAGAACAUAGUGCUAUUGAGAAUACUCAAUUUUUAUUCUAUGGUAAGUGUCAAUAUGUCAGUUAACAGCCACAGUUAACAACCAUAAAAUUAAGAAAUCGCAGAAACAGGCGAAAGGCAAUGAAACAACUAUAGUAUCGCUUCUAAACAAAGCAUCGCCAAAAAGCAAAAUCCAUCCAGAUCUGGCUAGUUUACUUAACAAGUAACAAUAAAGGGGGACUACGAUAAGUGGGAAAGUGUGAGAAAUGGGCAACACUGGUGGCGAGUGGAGGAGCAGCGGCGGACGGAGUUUUUGGCAUUGUGGUGGUGUGGUCUGGAAAGGACGGGUGGUGUGACCGGUUGUUGGUUAUUGUUAGAGGUUUAUUGGUUGUUGGGUAGUGGGUUUGGCUGGAGAAGAGAGGUGAAAGAGGGAUAUGAGAGAGGGAAGAGAAACGGUUGUUUUGGUGUUUUGAUACGCGUGUUUUUG